UACGUAGGGGGCGAGCGUUGUCCGGAAUCAUUGGGCGUAAAGAGCUCGUAGGCGGUUCAGUAAGUCGGCUGUGAAAUUCCGAGGCUCAACCUCGGAACUGCAGUCGAAACUAUUGUGACUCGAGUCCGGUAGAGGAGAAUGGAAUUCCCGGUGUAGCGGUGAAAUGCGCAGAUAUCGGGAGGAACACCAGUAGCGAAGGCGGUUCUCUGGACCGUAACUGACGCUGAGACACGAAAGCGUGGGUAGCAAACAGG
rnacentral:rRNA from 1 species